rnacentral:rRNA from 1 species
CAGUCGCCACGGGAAUACGGAGGGUGCAAGCGUUAAUCGGAAUUACUGGGCGUAAAGCGCACGCAGGCGGUCUGUCAAGUCGGAUGUGAAAUCCCCGGGCUCAACCUGGGAACUGCAUUCGAAACUGGCAGGCUAGAGUCUUGUAGAGGGGGGUAGAAUUCCAGGUGUAGCGGUGAAAUGCGUAGAGAUCUGGAGGAAUACCGGUGGCGAAGGCGGCCCCCUGGACAAAGACUGACGCUCAGGUGCGAAAGCGUGGGGAGCAAACAGGAUUAGAUACCCCAGUAGUCCCUGUCUCUUAUAC